GUCUCAGUAGCGCAAAGGAUGGCGCGUUGGUCUUCUAAUCCAAAUACCGUGGGUUCAAAUCCUACCUGGGAAG